rfam:Nicotiana attenuata strain TT chromosome 11, whole genome shotgun sequence.
UGGACAGAUUAUUGUAUUCGAUUGUAUUCACGGCGUGAAAUAGGGGAUUACAAUGUUUUAAAAUGGAAAGCGAAUCAAUUAACAUAAUAGAUUCCU